UACGGAGGGGGCUAGCGUUGUUCGGAAUUACUGGGCGUAAAGCGCACGUAGGCGGAUCAGCAAGUUAGGGGUGAAAUCCCGGGGCUCAACCCCGGAACUGCCUUUAGGACUGUUGGUCUGGAGUCCGAGAGAGGUGAGUGGAAUUCCGAGUGUAGAGGUGAAAUUCGUAGAUAUUCGGAGGAACACCAGUGGCGAAGGCGGCUCACUGGCUCGGUACUGACGCUGAGGUGCGAAAGCGUGGGGAGCAAACAGG
rnacentral:rRNA from 1 species